UCCUGCCCACUUGUUUGCAUUGUGACACAUGCUUCAGUGCUCUGAGAGUGUUUAUAGUGCUGUGAGUUUAACACUUCAUGACUGAGAGCAGAACAGAACACAAUCUUCAUCAUCACACAAGACAAAAGAACAACAAUGAACACAAUCACCUUCUUCAUCUGGACUCUCACACUGUUUGCUCAAGAAUCCAGAGGAGUGACUCUGACUCAACCUGAAGCUAAAACUGUCCAACAGGGUCAAACAGCUACAAUAGAGUGUCAUAUAGAUGUAGGAAUAUACAGCAACUACUUAGCCUGGUAUCAGCAGAAACCUGGAGAAGCUCCUAAACUCCUGAUUUAUGCCAUAAACUACCUUUAUACUGGAACUCCAUCUAGAUUCAGUGGCAGUGGAACAGCAAAUACUGGACGAGAUUUUACUCUGACCAUCAGUGGAGUCCAGACUGAAGAUACAGGAGAUUAUUACUGUCAGAGUGCACACUAUAUCAACAGUAAAUGGGUGUUCACACAGUGAUAAAGAGUGGUACAAAAACCUCGGUCAGUCAGACGUCACAGUGAUGCACUGAUACAGCUGAGAGAUACUGCAGCUGCUGAUGGAGGAUCACAAACAACACAAUGGUGUAUCAAACCUUUCAGAGACUUUAUUUAUUUAUUAUGAGUAAAUAUGUAACAUGCAAUCUUGUAUCCCUUACUAAACUGGACUAAAAUGUGGAGAAAAUGUGAGUGGUGCUCGUCCACUUUACACUAUAAUAUUAUCUGUAUUAUUUACUGUAGGAAAGUCAAUCGCUUUAAUUGCACUUCCACACUUCACCACUAGAGGGUCACAUGUCUUUUACAUAACUGAGUUUUACACACAUUUCCUUUAAGACCGUGACUGCAUCCAAAAUCACAUACUUAGCAGGUGAAACAGUGUGUGACAGAAGAAGUGUGUGUGAAUUCACAGUAUUCAUUAAAGAAGAGGUGAAAAGUA